CCUACGGGUGGCAGCAGUAGGGAAUAUUGCUCAAUGGGGGAAACCCUGAAGCAGCAACGCCGCGUGGAGGAUGAAGGUUUUCGGAUUGUAAACUCCUUUUGUUAGAGAAGAUAAUGACGGUAUCUAACGAAUAAGCACCGGCUAACUCCGUGCCAGCAGCCGCGGUAAUACGGAGGGUGCAAGCGUUACUCGGAAUCACUGGGCGUAAAGAGCGAGUAGGCGGGAUAGCAAGUCAGAUGUGAAAUCCUAUGGCUUAACCAUAGAACUGCAUUUGAAACUGUUAUUCUAGAGUAUGGGAGAGGUAGGUGGAAUUCUUGGUGUAGGGGUAAAAUCCGUAGAGAUCAAGAGGAAUACUCAUUGCGAAGGCGACCUGCUGGAACAUAACUGACGCUUAUGCGCGAAAGCGUGGGGAGCAAACAGGAUUAGAUACCCCAGUAGUC
rnacentral:rRNA from 1 species